GGGGACGUAGUGUACGGUGCAACGCUGCAUUUUAUAAAAGACGCUAUAUCAGUUCUAUGCAGCAGGCUGGGGUUCGACACCCCGCGUCCCCA